AGCACUGUGACAUAGCUGGUCAAAGCAACUGUCUUGUAAACACUACAUCCUGGGUUCAAAUCCCAGCAGUGUGU